rnacentral:rRNA from 1 species
UACGUAGGGUCCGAGCGUUGUCCGGAAUUACUGGGCGUAAAGAGCUCGUAGGUGGUUUGUCGCGUUGUUCGUGAAAACUCACAGCUCAACUGUGGGCGUGCGGGCGAUACGGGCAGACUGGAGUACUGCAGGGGAGACUGGAAUUCCCGGUGUAGCGGUGAAAUGCGCAGAUAUCGGGAGGAACACCGGUGGCGAAGGCGGUUCUCUGGGCCUUACCUGACGCUGAGGAGCGAAAGCGUGGGGAGCGAACAGG